rnacentral:rRNA from 1 species
UUCGAAGCCCUAGCUCAACCACCCCCUCCAACACAUCUGCCAAUAGAAUCAAAACAAACCAUUUGACACUACUAGUAAAGGCGAUUGAACAU